UGCCCAGGCCAGGCGAAGCCGGGCUGUAGGCAGGAUGGUAGACUGCUGCACCGAAAACAUUUCUGUGCCAGCUCCGUGACUGGGGAAGGCUAAAGAGAAUGUCAAUGUCACGG